rnacentral:pre_miRNA from 1 species
UGGGGCACAUCUCUAGAAGCAGGAAUAGUCAGGAUGCUCUGCUUCUAGUGACUUGCCUUGGAGA